CUUUUAUCAUCUCAAAUUAGUAUUGUUGUUUGUCAUAAUGAUAAUGUUCGUAGUGAUUUUAUCGUUGUGUUUCUUGGACAUAUCUGAAUGCUACGAGAACCUCAGUAGAAGACCUUCAACAGUAUUGUCACUCAGUUCUCGCUUUCAAACUCAAAACGCGACUCUGGCGAACGAUGGUGUACGUGACACGAUCUAUAGUAAAUGUUCUCAUACAGCGGAAAACCAAUCCAUUGCUUGGCUUCAGGUAGAUCUUGGAGAACGUUACAGCACAAGCAAAGUAACGAUGUAUUAUAGAGAUGAUGGAUCGGAAGGAUGGCGGCCAUAUAGGUUAAGGCAAUUCUAUCUUGAUGCAUCGAACUCAUCUGCAAACAUGUCAACAACACAGAGAACACGCUGUUAUACUGAUAAUACAACUGAACAGGACUUACCUAAUAAUAUAAUAGAAAUGCCAUGCAAACAAACAGCAAGAUAUGUCAUUGUGGAGACUACAUAUGACGCACCUGAGGAUACCAGCACAGGCGC